rnacentral:rRNA from 1 species
UACGUAGGGUGCGAGCGUUGUCCGGAAUUAUUGGGCGUAAAGAGCUCGUAGGCGGUGUGUCGCGUCGGCCGUGAAAACCUGGGGCUCAACUCUGGGCGUGCGGUCGAUACGGGCAUCACUGGAGUUCGGCAGGGGAGACUGGAAUUCCAGGUGUAGCGGUGAAAUGCGUAGAUAUCUGGAGGAACACCGGUGGCGAAGGCGGCGUUCUGGACUGCAACUGACACUGAGAAACGAAAGCCAGGGUAGCAAACGGG